rnacentral:snRNA from 1 species
GAUAGCAUUUGUGGAUUUUGCC